AUAUAUAUAUAUAUAUAUAUAUAUAUCUCAAAAGGAAUUAUUCAUGGCAGAACUUAUCUUCACGCCAUAUCUCUUCUUCCUCAAGAAAUCGUGGAAAGGAAAUUUUCAUCGCAGCGUGUCCUCUUAUGGCAACAAAAAUCUUAUUGUAUUUUGCAGCUCGAAGCAAUAUUAAAUUGACAGAUUUUAUUUUCACAAUAUCUUUCUUUCUUCCUCAAAACAACGAAUGAAAGGAAGGUUUCCAUAUGUGAUGAGAGGGCUUCAACUAUAUAAAGAGGUUCAUGGCAUUAGAUUUUUUAUACGAAUUGAAGCAACCAUUACAGAUACAAUCUUUGCCUUUGUUUUUCUUUUCGUCAGUGGUGGCUGAAUUUCAUUGGCCCUGUUGGUAUCUUUAGGAGCUUGCUUGGACUGAGUUAUUUCACUACUGUCUUUGCCUCAAAUUCGUGGCUUACUUGAAUUGGAGACUUUGCGCGCAUUAUUUGAGAAGCUUUGCUUGGUGCCUUUUCUCAUUUAAUUAUCGGAAAGCUUCAACAUGGUUGAUUCAAGGAUGUUUGUAUCUCUCGAAAAGAUUACUUGGUUGUUUUGGACAACAAGGAGCAACCAACUGAAAAAUGAACGCGUCUCAAAGUGCACAAACCAUUGAUUGGAUAUUAUGCUAGAAGAUGACCUAAAUUUGUAAAUCUUUACACAAAGCGAUGUGG